GCUGGCGGCGUGCUUAACACAUGCAAGUCGAACGAUGAAGCGGUGCUUGCACCGUGGAUUAGUGGCGAACGGGUGAGUAAUACGUGAGUGACCUACCUUUGACUCUGGGAUAAGCCUGGGAAACUGGGUCUAAUACCGGAUACGACCAAUCUCUGCAUGGGGUGUUGGUGGAAAGCGUUAUGGAGUGGUUUUAGAUGGGCUCACGGCCUAUCAGCUUGUUGGUGAGGUAAUGGCUUACCAAGGCGACGACGGGUAGCCGGCCUGAGAGGGUGACCGGCCACACUGGGACUGAGACACGGCCCAGACUCCUACGGGAGGCAGCAGUGGGGAAUAUUGCACAAUGGGCGCAAGCCUGAUGCAGCGACGCCGCGUGAGGGAUGACGGCCUUCGGGUUGUAAACCUCUGUUAGCAUCGAAGAAGCGAAAGUGACGGUAGGUGCAGAGAAAGCGCCGGCUAACUACGUGCCAGCAGCCGCGGUAAUACGUAGGGCGCGAGCGUUGUCCGGAAUUAUUGGGCGUAAAGAGCUUGUAGGCGGUUGGUCGCGUCUGCUGUGAAAGGCCGGGGCUUAACUCCGGUUUUGCAGUGGGUACGGGCUAACUAGAGUGCAGUAGGGGAGACUGGAAUUCCUGGUGUAGCGGUGGAAUGCACAGAUAUCAGGAGGAACACCGAUGGCGAAGGCAGGUCUCUGGGCUGUAACUGACGCUGAGAAGCGAAAGCAUGGGGAGCGAACAGGAUUAGAUACCCUGGUAGUCCAUGCCGUAAACGUUGGGCACUAGGUGUGGGGGACAUUCCACGUUUCCGCGCCGUAGCUAACGCAUUAAGUGCCCCGCCUGGGGAGUACGGCCGCAAGGCUAAAACUCAAAGGAAUUGACGGGGGCCCGCACAAGCGGCGGGGCAUGCGGAUUAAUUCGAUGCAACGCGAAGAACCUUACCAAGGCUUGACAUGCAUUAGAUCGCGUCAGAGAUGGCGUUUCCCUUCGGGGCUGGUGUACAGGUGGUGCAUGGUUGUCGUCAGCUCGUGUCGUGGGAUGUUGGGUUAAGUCCCGCAACGAGCGCAACCCUCGUUCUAUGUUGCCAGCGGUUCGGCCGGGGACUCAUAGGAGACUGCCGGGGUCAACUCGGAGGAAGGUGGGGAUGACGUCAAAUCAUCAUGCCCCUUAUGUCUUGGGCUUCACGCAUGCUACAAUGGCCGGUACAGAGGGUUGCGAUACUGUGAGGUGGAGCUAAUCCCUUAAAGCCGGUCUCAGUUCGGAUUGGGGUCUGCAACUCGACCCCAUGAAGUCGGAGUCGCUAGUAAUCGCAGAUCAGCAACGCUGCGGUGAAUACGUUCCCGGGCCUUGUACACACCGCCCGUCAAGUCACGAAAGUUGGUAACACCCGAAGCCGGUGGCCUAACCCUUGUGGGGGGAGCCGUCGAAGGUGGGAU
rnacentral:rRNA from 1 species